rnacentral:rRNA from 1 species
AUUGACGCUGGCGGCAGGCCUAACACAUGCAAGUCGAGCGAGCGGCGGACGGGUGAGUAAUGUAUGGGGAACUGCCCGAUAGAGGGGGAUAACUACUGGAAACGGUAGCUAAUACCGCAUACCAUCGGAUGAACCCAGAUGGGAUUAGCUAGUAGGUGGGGUAAAGGCUCACCUAGGCGACGAUCUCUAGCUGGUCUGAGAGGAUGAUCAGCCACACUGGUACUGAGACACGGCCCAGACUCCUACGGGAGGCAGCAGUAGGGAAUCUUUGGCAAUGGACGAAAGUCUGACCGAGCCAUGCCGCGUGAGUGAAGAAGGUCUUCGGAUCGUAAAACUCUGUUGUUGGAGAAGCGGUAUCUAACCAAAAAGCCACGGCUAACUCCGUGCCAGCAGCCGCGGUAAUAC